CUUUCGGAAGUGUUGGGGAUAUUUUACGCUUUGUUAUGGAAAUUUACAAUUCUUCUUAAGGAAAUUCAGGUAGCUGGUAAACCCUUGGAAAUGGAAUUUUUCCUGGCUUUUCUGCUUAAAGUGAUCUGAAAUGUGUCUCAUGUCUUAUCAAAUCCUCGAAUGCCUGAGUGCAUAUUUUCUAAUAAAGACAAUCUGUCAAGCGUCUGCGUAACUAUCGAGGAAAGCCGAAUUCCUCGAAGAACAAUUGCAUCACCGAUUGCAGUAUUUUCAAGAAGUAUUAUUAAAACCUUUCCUGGAAAGAAGUGCCACAUCCGUAAUCCAGUGACACAUAGGAAAACAAUUUUGGCUCAAACUACUUA